rnacentral:rRNA from 1 species
AAUACCGCAUAACGUCGCAAGACCAAAGAGGGGGACCUUCGGGCCUCUUGCCAUCGGAUGUGCCCAGAUGGGAUUAGCUAGUAGGUGGGGUAACGGCUCACCUAGGCGACGAUCCCUAGCUGGUCUGAGAGGAUGACCAGCCACACUGGAACUGAGACACGGUCCAGACUCCUACGGGAGGCAGCAGUGGGGAAUAUUGCACAAUGGGCGCAAGCCUGAUGCAGCCAUGCCGCGUGUAUGAAGAAGGCCUUCGGGUUGUAAAGUACUUUCAGCGGGGAGGAAGGGAGUAAAGUUAAUACCUUUGCUCAUUGACGUUACCCGCAGAAGAAGCACCGGCUAACUCCGUGCCAGCAGCCGCGGUAA